GAUGAAGAACGCAGCGAAAUGCGAUAACUAAUGUGAAUUGCAGAAUUCCGUGAAUCAUCGAGUCUUUGAACGCACAUUGCGCCCCCUGGUAUUCCGGGGGGCAUGCCUGUCCGAGCGUCAUUGCUGCCCAUCAAGCACGGCUUGUGUGUUGGGUCCUCGUCUCCCCCGGGGGACGUGCCCGAAAGGCAGCGGCGGCACCGCGUCCGGUCCUCGAGCGUAUGGGGCUUUGUCACCCGCUCUGCAGGCCCGGCCGGCGCUGGCCGACGCGAAAGCAACCAUUUUUUCUCCAGGUUGACCUCGGAUCAGGUAGGGAUACCCGCUGAACUUAAGCAUAUCAAUAAGCGGAGGA
rnacentral:misc_RNA from 1 species